rnacentral:misc_RNA from 1 species
UUUCCGUAGGUGAACCUGCGGAAGGAUCAUUAUUGUAUAACCGAGGUGCGAGGGCUGUCGCUGACCCGAAAGGUCGUGCACGCCCGAGUGCCCUCACACACAUCCAUCUAGCCCCUAUUUGCACCACCGCGUGGGUCCCCCUUGGGCUUGUUCGGAGGGGGGCUUACGUUUUCACACAAACUUUGUAUGCAGUGUAGAAUGUAUUUUUUGUUUUUGCGAUCACGCAAUCAAUACAACUUUCAACAACGGAUCUCUUGGCUCUC